rnacentral:lncRNA from 1 species
UUUUUUUUUUUUUUUUUUUUACUAAAGUGAAAGGUCUUUAGACGAAAUAUCUCAUUCGGGCUGGUUGAAGUGCAGAAGCUGUGGUCAGUCAUGUUACUGUUCUUCAUCGUGACCUGCCUGUCCCUGUUUUUUACAUCUUUACACUGCUUCAACUCCAACGAAAUUAAAUCGUCAAAGGAAGAAAUGGAUCAGGAGGUCAUAGAACCUGUGAGUCUGGGAGGAACCUGGAAUAUAGAUGCACGUAUCCAGAACUCUGCUAGAAGCAUAUCGCAGACCAGUAGGCCUUACGUGGCUCCUAAGGAAAAAGAAUGUAAAGUCGCAGACCCUGACAGCAAGACUAGACGUGUCAGAGGAGGGAGAGACAAACCAAGAGCAUCAAAGAAGUCUUGCUGCAUGCGGUCCAGCGACUGCGAGGAAGGCUUCUGCUGUGCUCGCUAUAAAGGACAACGCAGGUGCGAACGGAUGCCUAUGCAAGGUGAAGUCUGCCUACGCCCAAGACAAACCAAAACUCAUAGGAGCAAAGUGGAGCGCUGCGGAUGUGCUGGUGGCCUGCUCUGCCAAGCCCAGCCUGGUGGGAUUCGAAACCAGGGGCUCUGUGAACUCAGGCUGCUAAACUCAACUACACCAAUGGAGGCUUAGCGUUAGACAGGGAAGCAAGAUCAACUUGAAAUGAUUUUUUCCUGUCGCUUAAUUUCAAAUCUUUUUUUUUUUCUUUUUUAAAUUUGAUUUGCAAUUGCAAUUGCUUUACAUCUGCUUUGAGCCUACUAGAUUACAAAAUUAAAGGACUGCAUUGAAGGAGUUAAAAUAUUACUUUUAAACACAAUAUUUGUGUUUUUGCUAUUGCACUCUAAAUGGCAUUUUCCUCCGUAAUAAGAUAAACAACAAAAAUUUUAUGUUGAAAUAGCGGAUAGUUUGGGUUGUACAUGGGUCAUGGUUUCAGUUCAUUUUCUUAGCAUAUUAGCAAAAAAUAUUUGCAUUUCAAUUGUUCUCUCUGUAUUUCCCCUGCC